rnacentral:tRNA from 1 species
CUAGGGGAAAAGGACUCGAACCUCCAUCUAAAAAUUCAAAAUUUUUAGUAUUACCACCUUAUACUACCCCCUA